rnacentral:rRNA from 1 species
UACGUAGGGUGCAAGCGUUGUCCGGAAUUAUUGGGCGUAAAGAGCUCGUAGGCGGUCUGUCGCGUCUAUCGUGAAAACCUGCAGCUUAACUGUGGGCUUGCGGUGGAUACGGGCAGACUUGAGUUCGGUAGGGGAGACUGGAAUUCCUGGUGUAGCGGUGGAAUGCGCAGAUAUCAGGAGGAACACCAAUAGCGAAGGCAGCUCGCUGGGACGGUACUGACGCUGAGGCGCGAAAGCGUGGGGAGCGAACAGG